CAAUUAUCGGUGAUGUUCAAGAUAGCAAUUUCUUCUCUUUUGUAAUUUUUGCCUUUUUCUUGAAUUGUGCUAGCAAUCUAUCUCCCCCUUUGUCAUUGUCAAAAAAAAGGGAAAAACCCUUUACAUCAAUUUCUAAAUUAUGACAAAGGUAAGUAAUCAUUCUUAUUUGUGCAUCAUUAUAGUUUCAAUGCACAAAUUCAUUAUCAUUACAUUUCAUUUUUUUUUUAUGCACGAUACCGAAAAAUCAAUCAUCAUCAUGAGCAUAUCAAACAUGAUAUUCAAGCAUUCAUGAUAUAUCAUUUUGGCAACAUGAUCAUAGAUAUUCAAACGAUGGUAUCUAAAUGUCAGAAUUCAUUACAUCCUAUUAUGCAUGAUCAUUAACUCCUCAUUUGUAUUUCAUGCAUUAUUUCAUUUCAUCUCAUAAGGAAUAUCAAGAAGAGUUAUUGGAUGAUGAGAUAAAUAUUUUAUGAAUACACGGAAUAUCAUAAGUGUUUCAUGUAUUCAUAUUAUCACAUGAAGCAUAUUAUCAUUUUUAAGAUUCAUAA
rnacentral:lncRNA from 1 species